UUGCCAGACUCCUACGGGAGGCAGCAGUGGGGAAUAUUGCGCAAUGGGCGAAAGCCUGACGCAGCGACGCCGCGUGAGGGAUGAAGGUCUUCGGAUCGUAAACCUCUGUCAGCAGGGAAGAACGGUCACUGUGCUAAUCAGCAGUGAAUUGACGGUACCUGCAAAGGAAGCCCCGGCUAACUACGUGCCAGCAGCCGCGGUAAUACGUAGGGGGCAAGCGUUAUCCGGAUUCACUGGGUGUAAAGGGAGCGUAGACGGCGACGCAAGUCUGGAGUGAAAGCCCGGGGCCCAACCCCGGGACUGCUCUGGAAACUGCGUCGCUGGAGUACGGGAGGGGCAGGCGGAAUUCCUGGUGUAGCGGUGAAAUGCGUAGAUAUCAGGAGGAACACCGGCGGCGAAGGCGGCCUGCUGGACCGUGACUGACGUUGAGGCUCGAGAGCGUGGGGAGCAAACAGGAUUAGAUACCCUUGUA
rnacentral:rRNA from 1 species